rnacentral:rRNA from 1 species
AACGAACGCUGGCGGCAGGCUUAACACAUGCAAGUCGAACGGGUGUAGCAAUACAUCAGUGGCAGACGGGUGAGUAACACGUGGGAACCUUCCUAGGGGUACGGAACAACUCAGGGAAACUUGAGCUAAUACCGUAUACGUCCGUGAGGAGAAAGAUUUAUCGCCCUUAGACGGGCCCGCGUCGGAUUAGCGAGAUGGUGGGGUAACGGCCUACCAAGGCGACGAUCCGUAGCUGAUCUUAGAGGAUGAUCAGCCACACUGGGACUGAGCCACGGCCCAGACUCCUACGGGAGGCAGCAGUGGGGAAUCUUGGACAAUGGGCGCAAGCCUGAUCCAGCCAUGCCGCGUGAGUGAAGAAGGUCUUCUGAUUGUAAAGCUCUUUUGCCAGGGACGAUAAUGACGGUACCUGGAGAAUAAGCCCCGGCAAACUUCGUGCCAGCCGCCGCCGCAG